GGGAGCGGGGGGAGGGGCAGAGCGAGUCAUUCUCUUUCCUCGGACUAUGGGGGCCCUGGCACUAGCCCAGCCUGCUGAGUGCGGGGGCUGAUGGGGUGACGCUGCUGGCGUCAAUGGAAGCGGAGCUCUUGACAGUCCACUUCUGUGUCUAUGCGGGGGACAUUUUCCAGGUGGUUUUGAAUCAGUCCCGCUAACCCGGGUUUGAAGGGGUUCCAUCGUGACGCGGGCUCUAACGGGCCAUCUCUGCGGCCUUGGCAAGUUGUGACAUCCGUGUAGUUGGGCCAGAUUUAGAACCAGGCUGAAAAUGCCCCCCCCCCCCCAAGGCCCGUGCCAGGUACCUCAGUAAAUGUACCUGAUUGUUAGCUCCAGUGUCUGCCCCACAGAAGCCCCUGGCUGGCCAGGCCAUCCAGUCACCUCUUUGCAACUCCUCAUCCUGAGUAUGGAGAAAACCUAGGACCUUGCUACCUUGUAUACUUCUGGACUGGACAGCGCCUGAGUUAGGAAAUGUUGAGUUUAUCAUCGCUUUUGUGUUAUAACAAUGCAAUCAUGCCUGGGGUGUUUACUAAGGCUGCCAGAAAUAAGUUGCAAAGAAAUUUCUCUAUUACUUGAUGUGUGCAAGUGUUCUUGGGAACCCCCAAAGCUAGAGCCUGAAGAGCCUAGUACUUAUAGCACCACAGUAUUCAUCUCCAAGGUUGUGGUAAAUCUAUCAUGGUACCAGAUAGCUACAGACAGGUGUACUACUACACUCACAGCAAUGACCUGCAAUGGGGUCAGUUACAAUAUCUGUUAUACAUUCCCCUUCCCUGUCUUCUUUUAUUGUCUGUUUCUGUUAUCCUCUCAUAUUUCUUUCUGUCCAGUUUAUAUUACUUCACUCUCUGGCCCUGUUUACACUAAGGGAAAAGGGCAAUGCAAAAAAAUCCCAGACAAACCCAUAAGCUGAAACAACUUAAUUUUGUAUCCACAGCACCUUGUAUCCACAUACAACUGUCAGACAUUUUACAAGAGUUAAUUGUAAGCAGUUGGUUCAGUGCCAAAACCAGGAGCCUAAUUCUUCACUGCUUUGCACCUUGUGUGGUCAUUUACACCUGUGAAAAGUCAGUGUAAAAUUAGAAUUCUCCAUCACAUAUACCAGUGGUAGUAUUUUACAUCCACUUUGUAUUCACUUUUUCACAGAUGUAAAUGACUACAUCAGGAACGAGUAGUGGAGAAUCAGUUCCAAUGUCUUUAGUUCAUUUCAGGUCUGAAGCAAUGCAUUCUGCAACUAUUUCUGCCCAUUGUAAACAGGAAGCUGUAAUCAUUGCAGCUGCACGAUUUCAGAUUAUCCUCCUGAUCUCCUUGCCCCAUCAGAUCUCCUUUUGGUAAGCUACGCUUAUGUUGGAAUAAGAGUAUUCACACGAGAGGUUAUACCAGUAUAACUAUAUCUCUGUAACUUGGUAACAUUUCCCCAUAUAUACAAGACCUUAUUCCAAUGUCCAGAACAUAUCCUAUGGAUAAGAAAGAACUGUUAAAUAUUAGAGGCCAACUGAGGUGAUUAAGAAAAGGUCACGCCAAAAAUGGUUUUUUAUCACUUUAGAGUUAACAUUCUAGAUUGUCUCUGGAACAGAAAUCACAGUUAUUGUGAUUACAGAAAAAUAGCUCAUGGGCUUUAAAUGAGAUAUAUUUCCAGCUUUAUAUGGACCAAAUCUAUGUAACCUAUAAUAAAAGAUAUGCAAGUAUCAGGAAAAAAUGGAUGAGACCGAGCUAGAUUCCUUGACAUAUUGUACAGACUGAAAAAUUCAUAGUUAAAGCUGCCAUUGAACACCAGCUUUGCAGCACAAUCUAAUGUCUGGUUCUAUUAACAGAAGGUGAUGUUACAUAAAGUAGGGGAAAUAUUCAUUCACCUAUUGUGAACUAAUUACACUGCAAGUUACUGAAACACUGAGAAUUUCCUCCCAUGUUUAUUAUUUUUUUGCCUCUACUGAUAAAUCUGUUUGGGAUUUACUUUCUGUGUGUGUAGGAUCUAGCCAAUUUGCAGAUCUCCUCAUGCUUUAUAUAUUUUAUAAACAAAAAAAGUAAAUAUAUAUUCUAAUUGUUAUAGGUAUCAUCCUAUUCUGCCUCAACUAACCCUCACCUUCAAACUGGUGCACAAUAGCAAGUACUAUGUCAGUAGGAAAGAGGAAUUCUUGCGGAGUUUGCAGCUUAGUAGAUCUUACAUUGUGGGCUUUGCCAAACACGUGUUUCCUCCCUGAAAUGACCUCUGAGGGAAGACUGAAGAAAAUUGGGUU